GCCAACAUCCUUUGACAUUUUUUUCCCUUUGUACCAAUACUCUAAGACUCUCUAAGACUCUUUUUAUUGUAAUGUCUCCCAUCCUCCUUCGUCUAAAGAGAGGGGUCUUUUUUCUAUGAAUAUUUCCAAUUGUCUCUUUCCUUACAACUACUUCAAUGGCAUUUUGCAAGUUGAAAAAAUUGUUUAUGGCAUGGUCUUUAUUUUUGUGAUAUAAGCAUUCAACUAUAUAUCUUUUUCAUGGAUUAGAUCGUAUGGGUGGUAGAGUCCCCAAUAUUCCUUUACUCUUGCCAUGAUAUCUCUUUGCAAACUAUUUAAGGGAGUGUAAUGGUGGAUAGCAUUGGCGAUAUUCUGUUUAGGUGUUUCAGUUGUCAACAAUUUUGACGCCUUAUCAUAGUCUUGUUAUUUAAGGGAUUGUAAUGGUGGAUAGCUUGGGCGAUACUCUCUUUGUGAUAUAAGCAUUCAACUAUAUUCCUUUUUCAUGGAUUGGAUCGUAUGGGUGGUAGAGCCCCUAAUAUUCCUUUACUCUUACUAAGAUAUCUCUUUGCAAGGUAUUUAAGGGAGUGUAAUGGUGGACAGAAUGGGCGAUACUCUUUUUAGGUGUUUUGGUUAUCGAUAAUUUUGAUGCCUUAUCACAGCCUUAUUAUUCAUCCUUUUGGCUGCACCAUUAUUUUGUUAACCCAUUGGUCAAGGCUAUGUUAGCAUCUUAGGGAUCAUAUUUGGUCUUAAGAAGAGUCUUUUUUUUCUUCCUUUCUUGGUUGCUUCUUGUCCUUCAAGGCCUCUUAUCAAGCAUAUUCCUAGAUUUAGGCCCAAAGAAACUUGUUCUAAGCUUGUAACUCCUUAUAUUGAUGGAUUGUAAACUUGAACUCUCUACAUGCUCUAGUAUUUUUAUAACAUCCCUCGUCUUGAUGAUUUGUCAAUGUGGUGGAAGAAAAUGGUAAGGUCUACUUGUUACCCCACUACUGAAAUUACGAAAAAGAUGUGGUAAGCUUUUACAACAUACCUAGAACUUGGUGUUCAGCUCUAGCUUAGUGUUGAUAAUGGAUUGCAUCAUGGUCUCUUUAUUCCUGAUGAUGAUAGUUCCCUGAAUGUAGAAACAUAGCCUUUUGUUUUGUCCCAAUAAAUGACGCUAAAUAACAAUGAAGUUGUACAAGGUGUUCGGGUAGACUAUGGUGGUGGUUCAUACAGUGUAAGGAGUAGAAAGCCGCUAAAGAUGGAGGUUUAUGAUGUGCAAAGCAUUUGAGAGAGGGGGGAGAGUAGCGAGAUGUUUGUAUUUUGAGUAUCCGAGUUCUGUGUCCCAUUGCUCUAGUUUUGAGAAGAGGUAUUUAAAUAGGGCAGUUGAUUGGGAAUGGAUCUUGGCCAUUAAGCAUUCUAUUCCACUCACUCCACAGGCAUAGAAGGUAGCGUGGUGGAUUGUCAACUAGAAGCACUAUUAGAGUCUAUAUGAGGUGACUAGGUAGAGUGUUGUUAGGCUUGGUGAGGGGAUGAAUUGGCAGGUGCUAGCAUGAGCUCUUCCCUGUAUAUCUUUUAGGGAUUUCCUAGACCUAUCUUAUGUAAUGUGGAAUUAGGUGAGGCCGAGCUUCGCCGAAUUUUAUUUUCAAGCAUAGAAGUCAAGUGCUUUGGCAAGGAAUUUGAUGAGGGUGUAACCCAAAUAUAUGCAUAUAUAUAUAAUUUUAUUGAAAAAGUUGGCAAAAAUUCUUUAUUUUGCUUGUUUGUUUAGUUAUUUUUUAUUAUGGGUUAAACUUAUGGGUUUUUAUAUUAUAGGCUUAGGAACAAAUUUAUAACUCUAGUGGGCAAUUUAAUUAUUGUGCAUUUACUUUUAAGUUUAACUGUAAAUGAGAUUUUUUAACAUUCAAGGUCAU
rnacentral:lncRNA from 1 species